rnacentral:rRNA from 1 species
UACGUAGGGUGCAAGCGUUGUCCGGAAUUAUUGGGCGUAAAGAGCUCGUAGGCGGUUUGUUGCGUCGGCUGUGAAAUCCCGAGGCUCAACCUCGGGUCUGCAGUCGAUACGAGCAAACUAGAGUGUUGCAGGGGAGACUGGAAUUCCUGGUGUAGCGGUGAAAUGCGCAGAUAUCAGGAGGAACACCGGUGGCGAAGGCGGGUCUCUGGGCAACAACUGACGCUGAGGAGCGAAAGCGUAGGGAGCAAACAGG